UACGUAGGCAGCAAGCGUUGUUCGGAAUUACUGGGCGUAAAGAGUGUGUAGGCGGUUCUCCAAGUCAGUGGUGAAAGCCCGGAGCUCAACUCCGGAAUUGCCAUUGAAACUGUUGAACUCGAGGACGGGAGAGGUGAGUGGAAUUCCCAGUGUAGAGGUGAAAUUCGUAGAUAUUGGGAAGAACACCAGUGGCGAAGGCGGCCCGCUGGGCAGUGGCUGACGCUGAGGCGCGACAGCGUGGGGAGCAAACAGG
rnacentral:rRNA from 1 species